GGUCCUAUAGUGUAGAGGUUAUCACAUAAGAUUCUGAUUCUUGAAACCCGUGUUCGAUUCACGGUAGGACCU